UACGAAGGGGGGCGAGCGUUGUUCGGAUUUACUGGGCGUAAAGGGCGCGCAGGCGGCGGAUCAAGUCAGACGUGAAAGCCCCGGGCUUAACCUGGGAACUGCGUUUGGGGACUGAUUUGCUAGAGAUCGGGGAGAGGAGAGUGGAAUUCCCAGUGUAGAGGUGAAAUUCGUAGAUAUUGGGAAGAACACCGGUGGCGAAGGCGGCUCACUGGCUCAUUACUGACGCUCAGGCGCGACAGCGUGGGGAUCAAACAGG
rnacentral:rRNA from 1 species